GGGCAUCUCCCCCUGCCUCCCAUCCAUCUAGAUCCCCAACCUGCCGGCCCCUUGCCAGCUCUUAUCCAGUCCCCCUUUGCGCAUCCCCAGAGGAGCAUCCCACCUUGGGAGUGAGGCUGUGAAACAUUCCAGGGGGGCUUGCAGAUUUCCUGCCGGGGGGGAGGUAUCCUUAAAUUCCUCAUUUCUCUGAGGAUCGAUGAUGGGGCAGUAGGUACUGUGCAGGUAGUGAAUACAUGAACACUUUUUGUCGGGGGUUUGGCAGCAGGUUUGAGUUUCUCUGUGUCCCCCUCCCUCCACUGCAUUCCAAAAUUCAGACACCCACCACCUUGGAUUUCCACACGGGUGAUGUUUGGGGUCACCUCCUUAGGAUGUGCAAGUCGCCUCUGGUCCUUUCCAAGCACAUCCUUGGCUGCCAUGCUGCAACCAACCCCCCGGCAUCGCAGGGGUCCCAUGCACGAGUGGGGUGCCCCACACACAGGAGCGUCCCAGGAAGCAUCCCAGGCUGGCCCACCCUCAAGACAAAGCAUCCCGGGGGUGGGGGAUGUGCCAGGAUGAGGAACACGCAUCCUAGGCCGCUUGGGUGGGGCAGCCUUCAGAUGCUGCCAUGUUUUAACGCAGCACAGCAGGGGAUGACACAUCCUUCUGUCCCCCCCCCCCCCCCCCCCCCCACCUCCCCAACCAACUAGAAAUGGAUGCCUUUAUUUCAGCUCAGCAGUAGACCUUGUUUGGGAUUCAGAGCAUGAAACUCAUUGCAGUGAGCUGCUGCUGUUUUUUCUCUCCGUGUCAAGGGGUUCAAUGUGUUGGGAAUGCAAAAACAAAAGUGAUGGGGUGGUUGUCCUGCAUGUACGUUUGCAAGGAGGGUUUGCUGCAGUUGUGUUUUCCAGCACUUUCUUUGGCAGAGCCCACCGCUGCUGAGACCAAAGUGGAGGUGGCAGAGAGCAAAGCUGGGGGUUGCGGUGACAAAAGUGUGAUGGCAGCCUUUUUGCUUUUCCCUAUAGCUGUGUGAAUGCUGAGGUGUUCAUGGCUUUGAAUGAUUUAUUUUCCUCGUUGGGGAGAUUUAGAGGUGACACCUGGCCAUCAAACAGGUCUGCCCAGAGUUAGAGAGCAGAGGUGGUACCAGAUGGUAAUGUCCAUGGAAGAUGGAGGUUCCUCCCAGCCAGAUGGAUGAAUGAUUUGUUUGUAUUAGCAUUUGAGCCAGAAGCCUUCGGUGAGGCCAGAGUGGCAGGACUGUGGAUGUCUGCCAGAGACUGCCUGUGCCCAGGGAUCCUACAGAAUAAAUAGGAUUUAUUUCCAAUAUUUCUAGUAUUUCUUUAUCUUAUUCAUAGUAUUUACAUUAUUUAUAUUGAUAUAUUUAUUAACAAUAAUUUAUUAACUAUUCACUUAUACAUGGGAUUUAUUUAUGUACUUAUUCCCACUGCUUUCACUGGGUGUGGCUUGGCGUGACACAGGUUCCAGCACUGAGGGACUUCUUGUCUCAUUUUCCCUCCCCAGCACAUGAGCUGCCCAAGUUUACAGGUAACCAAGGCAGGUUACAUCUCCUUCACCCCCCCUCUUCCCUGUGGUCCUGCUUCUCAGGGUGGUCCAUGGACCCUGAGGGACCAAGGACCAGAGAAUCCUUCAGUCAGGUCAGCUUGAAAAGCUGCUGGUGGUGGAUGGAGCUGUUUCUUGUUCAAUUUGUGAUGUGGUGGCAUCAUUGAGGGCUUUAUCUGUAUUGGGUAAGGGGAUUUCUGCCCCUGAACUUCUGGACAGGAUGGGCAGAGCACUUCUCCCUGCUACACCAAAGGCUGGACUUGACCCUGGGGGUUUGGGACCAGAGAGAGCAGGCGACAAAAUGUGCAGACAGUGGCAUUUGCUGGUGGAUGUGAAACAAUUAGAAGCACAUUUGGCAAAAAUAAAAGAAGGAAUGAAUGAAUGCUUUCCCUUUUUAUUUGGAAAUUGUGGAAAAAUGCCAGAAUUAGUUGUUUCUUGGGUGUUUUUCCCCCCCUUCUCCUUUGUCUUACAUUCUGCCUUCUCUUGUUACCUUUAUUCCCUGAAGAAAAAAGAUACAAAAGGGAAAGGAACCACUUACCCCCCUUUGUAAGGUGUCCAAAUGAGUACUAAGAAAAUGCAUUUACCCCUGAGAAGUAAUAUUGCGAAACCAGAUUUUUUUUUUACCAAACCAAUUAUUUUUUCCAUCCCACCAACUUCCUUUCCUAGCAGAGGAAACAAAACAAUAAAGGCUUCAAUGGAAAAUUUU